UACGAAGGGGACUAGCGUUGUUCGGAAUUACUGGGCGUAAAGCGCACGUAGGCGGAUUUGUUAGUCAGGGGUGAAAUCCCGGGGCUCAACCUCGGAACUGCCUUUGAUACUGCAAGUCUCGAGUCCGAUAGAGGUGGUGGAAUUCCUAGUGUAGAGGUGAAAUUCGUAGAUAUUAGGAAGAACACCGGUGGCGAAGGCGGCCCACUGGAUCGGUACUGACGCUGAGGUGCGAAAGCGUGGGGAGCAAACAGG
rnacentral:rRNA from 1 species